rnacentral:rRNA from 1 species
UGCAAGUCGAGCGGUAGCACAGAGAGCUUGCUCUCGGGUGACGAGCGGCGGACGGGUGAGUAAUGUCUGGGAAACUGCCUGAUGGAGGGGGAUAACUACUGGAAACGGUAGCUAAUACCGCAUAAUGUCGCAAGACCAAAGUGGGGGACCUUCGGGCCUCAUGCCAUCAGAUGUGCCCAGAUGGGAUUAGCUAGUAGGUGGGGUAAUGGCUCACCUAGGCGACGAUCCCUAGCUGGUCUGAGAGGAUGACCAGCCACACUGGAACUGAGACACGGUCCAGACUCCUACGGGAGGCAGCAGUGGGGAAUAUUGCACAAUGGGCGCAAGCCUGAUGCAGCCAUGCCGCGUGUAUGAAGAAGGCCUUCGGGUUGUAAAGUACUUUCAGCGAGGAGGAAGGCGUUAAGGUUAAUAACCUUAGCGAUUGACGUUACUCGCAGAAGAAGCACCGGCUAACUCCGUGCCAGCAGCCGCGGUAAUACGGAGGGUGCAAGCGUUAAUCGGAAUUACUGGGCGUAAAGCGCACGCAGGCGGUCUGUUAAGUCAGAUGUGAAAUCCCCGGGCUCAACCUGGGAACUGCAUUUGAAACUGGCAGGCUUGAGUCUUGUAGAGGGGGGUAGAAUUCCAGGUGUAGCGGUGAAAUGCGUAGAGAUCUGGAGGAAUACCGGUGGCGAAGGCGGCCCCCUGGACAAAGACUGACGCUCAGGUGCGAAAGCGUGGGGAGCAAACAGGAUUAGGUACCCUGGUAGUCCACGCUGUAAACGAUGUCGACUUGGAGGUUGUUCCCUUGAGGAGUGGCUUCCGGAGCUAACGCGU